CGGGCUUAAUACAUGCAAGUCAAACGAGCAGCUCCGACUUGUCGGAGUGGGCGAGUGGCGCACGGGUGAGUAACGCGUAGGCAACCUGCCGUAGAGAGGGGAAUAACUCCGGGAAACCGGGGCUAAUACCGCAUAUUGUACCAAAUCACAUGUUUUGGUAUGAAAGCCUUCGGGCGCUCUACGAUGGGCCUGCGUUGGAUUAGCUUGUUGGUAGGGUAACGGCCUACCAAGGCUGCGAUCCAUAGCUGGUCUGAGAGGAUGAUCAGCCACACUGGCACUGAGACACGGGCCAGACUCCUACGGGAGGCAGCAGUAAGGAAUAUUGCGCAAUGGACGAAAGUCUGACGCAGCCACGCCGCGUGCAGGAUGACACCCCUACGGGGCGUAAACUGCUUUUAUGCGAGAAGAAAUCCCGGACUUGUCCGGGGCUGACGGUAUCGCACGAAUAAGGACCGGCUAACUCC
rnacentral:rRNA from 1 species